UUCAUAAUAAGGUCCUUAUAUAUCCUCACCUUAUCUUCUUUGAUGUUCACACAGCAUAUUAUGACAAAAACUAUAUAAACAAAUUUCAACAUAUUUACUUUAAGAUUAUAGAAGUGUAUACUAUACCACUAGGAAGUCAUUCAAAUACCAUACAACAUUCCCAAAAGUAUAAACAACAGAUUGUAAGACCAAAAGAAUAACACACAACACAGCCCUACAAGUCGUCAUAUUUGUAUAUCGAUCUUUGGGGUCCCGUAAGAGCUUCAUAGCUAGUCAUGUCCUCUACAAAGUCCCAUACUCACCCACAAUGCAAGGACUACAUAAGCUAAUGCCCAAUAAGUGAAAAUCAUGCAUGCUUAAUUAGAAGUAAUAUGAGUAUAUUCCGCCAUAUCAUUUCUUUAGAAAAUAUCUUGCUAUGAUGCAUCAUAUUCAAAUAUUCAUGAAAGUUAACUCAAAUAAGUCUUCAUUUGAAAUCUUUUCUUUUCAUUGGGAUCACCAUGAAAGUAUCACCUAUGCUGCUAAAACAUAUCACAUAAGCAUGCUUCACAUGCCUCUGUGAUCUAGUAGUGGUCAACAAAACAUUUGUAAGGAGAACUCAAUUUUGAUAUCAUGUUGUGCAUGCUAGAUUUUCAACCAUGGAUAUAUGCCAUGGAUGCACAUGAAAAUGC
rnacentral:lncRNA from 1 species